GAUGAACGCUGGCGGCGUGCCUAAUACAUGCAAGUCGAGCGAACGGACGAGAAGCUUGCUUUUCUGAUGUUAGCGGCGGACGGGUGAGUAACACGUGGAUACCCUACCUAUAAGACUGGGAUAACUUCGGGAAACCGGAUCUAAUACCGGAUAAUAUUUUGAACCGCAUGGUUCAAAAGUGAAAGACGGUCUUGCUGUCACUUAUAGCUGGAUACGCGCUGCAUUAGCUAGUUGGUAAGGUAACGGCUUAGCAACGCAACGAUGCAUACCCGACCUGAGAGGGUGAUCGGCUAGCUGGGAACUGAGAAACGGCCCAGACUCCUACGGGAGGCAGCAGUAGGGAAUCUUCCGCAAUGGGCGAAAGCCUGACGGAGCAACGCCGCGUGAGGGAUGAAGGUCUUCGGCUCGUAAAACUCUGUUAUUAGGGAAGAACAUAUGUGUAAGUAACUGUGCACAUCUUGACGGUACCUAAUCAGAAAGCUACGGCUAACUACGUG
rnacentral:rRNA from 1 species